GAGUUUGAUCAUGGCUCAGAUUGAACGCUGGCGGCAUGCCUAACACAUGCAAGUCGAACGAGGUGUAGCAAUACACCUAGUGGCGGACGGGUGAGUAAUACGUAGGAAUCUGCCUCAGAGUGGGGGAUAGCCCGGGGAAACUCGGAUUAAUACCGCAUGAUCUCGCAAGAGCAAAGCAGGGGACCGCAAGGCCUUGUGCUCUGAGAGGAGCCUACGUCUGAUUAGCUAGUUGGCGGGGUAAUGGCCCACCAAGGCAACGAUCAGUAACUGGUCUGAGAGGACGAUCAGUCACACCGGAACUGAGACACGGUCCGGACUCCUACGGGAGGCAGCAGUGGGGAAUAUUGGACAAUGGGCGAAAGCCUGAUCCAGCAAUGCCGCGUGUGUGAAGAAGGCCUUCGGGUUGUAAAGCACUUUAGUCAGGGAAGAAAAAGCUCAAGCUAAUAUCUUGAGUGUUGACGGUACCUGAAGAAUAAGCACCGGCUAACUCUGUGCCAGCAGCCGCGGUAAUACAGAGGGUGCGAGCGUUAAUCGGAUUUACUGGGCGUAAAGCGUGUGUAGGUGGCUGUUCAAGUCGGUUGUGAAAUCCCCGGGCUCAACCUGGGAAUUGCUUCCGAGACUGAGCGGCUAGAGUACGAUAGAGGAAAGUGGAAUUUCUAGUGUAGAGGUGAAAUUCGUAGAUAUUAGAAAGAACACCAAUUGCGAAGGCAGCUUUCUGGAUCAUUACUGACACUGAGGAGCGAAAGCAUGGGUAGCGAAGAGGAUUAGAUACCCUCGUAGUCCAUGCCGUAAACGAUGUGUGCUAGACGUUGGAAAUUUAUUUUUCAGUGUCGCAGCAAAAGCGAUAAGCACACCGCCUGGGGAGUACGACCGCAAGGUUAAAACUCAAAUGAAUUGACGGGGACCCGCACAAGUAGUGGAGCAUGUGGUUUAAUUCGAAGAUACGCGCAGAACCUUACCAACACUUGACAUGUUCGUCGCGACUCUAAGAGAUUAGAGUCUUCGGUUCGGCCGGACGAAACACAGGUGCUGCAUGGCUGUCGUCAGCUCGUGUCGUGAGAUGUUGGGUUAAGUCCCGCAACGAGCGCAACCCCUACUUUUAGUUGCUACCAUUUAGUUGGGCACUCUAAAAGAACUGCCGGUGAUAAGCUGGAGGAAGGCGGGGAUGACGUCAAGUCCUCAUGACCCUUACGUGUUGGGCUACACACGUGCUACAAUGGUACUUACAGUGAGAUGCUAAGAGGCGACUCUAAGCCAAUCCCAAAAAGGUACCUCAGUUCGGAUUGUACUCUGCAACUCGAGUACAUGAAGCUGGAAUUACUAGUAAUCGUGGAUCAGCGCGCCACGGUGAAUGCGUUCCCGGGUCUUGUACACACCGCCCGUCACACCAUGGAAGUUGGUUACACCUUAAGGCAAAGCAUAAAACCUUUGACUACGGUACGAUCAGCGACUGGGGUGAAGUCGUAACAAGGUAACC
rnacentral:rRNA from 1 species